GUGCUCGCUUCAGCAGCACGUAUACUAAAAUUGGAAUGAUACAGAGAAGAUGAGCAUGGCCCCUGCGCAAGGAUGACAUGCAAAUUUGUGAAGCAUUCUGGGCCUUU
rnacentral:snRNA from 1 species